rnacentral:rRNA from 1 species
AAGCGCUUGCAGCCAGACUUGCCUGCGGUUGUUCAACUGGGCUUAUGCCCAGUGCACUCUUCCGUAGGCAGGCCAGCAUCAGUUUGGGCGACUGGAGAAAGGCCUCUGUCAUGUACCUUCUUUCGGGAAGGCCUUAUAGGGGAGGCGUAAUGCAGCCAGUCUGAACUGAGGUCCGCGCAUCUGCUAGGAUGCUGGCGUAAUGGCUGUAAGCGG